UUCCAGAGUGUUGAAUUCCUUUCAGAGUAUCUUCCCUGCUCUGGUAGUUAAACUUUGCAACUUUGAAACUGGCUAGGGAAAAUGAUUGGAUAGAAAAUAUUAUUCUGUGCAUUUAUCCCUGACCUACAAAU
ensembl:snoRNA